AAGGACUUAGUUUAGGUAAAACAUUAAUUUGUCAAAUUAAAAAAAUUAAUAUUAAUAUUCCUUA
rnacentral:tRNA from 1 species